rnacentral:misc_RNA from 1 species
UCGUAACAAGGUCUCCGUUGGUGAACCAGCGGAGGGAUCAUUACGAGAGUGUCACCACUCCCAACCCAUUGUUUACCUACCCGUCCACCGUGCUUCGGCAGGCAGUCCUGUGGGACAGGGCCUCGCCCCCGCGAGGGGGUGCCUGCCGCUGGCCAACCAAAAUUCUAGCUGUUUUUGUACUAUCUGAGUCUUCCACAAAUAAACAAAACUUUCAACAACGGAUCUCUUGGUUCUGGCAUCGAUGAAGAACGCAGCGAAAUGCGAUAAGUAAUGUGAAUUGCAGAAUUCAGUGAAUCAUCGAAUCUUUGAACGCACAUUGCGCCCACUAGUAUUCUGGUGGGCAUGCCUGUUCGAGCGUCAUUUCAACCCUCAAGCCUGGCUUGGUGUUGGGGCUCUGCGUCUGCAGUCCCUUAAAUCCAGUGGCGGACACGCUAGGUCUCCGAGCGCAGUAGUUUCUUCUCGCUCAGGGCGUCCGGCGUGGGCUUGCCUCGCACCCAUCUUACACAAGGUUGACCUCGGAUCAGGUAGGAAUACCCGCUGAACUUAAGCAUAUCAAUAA